rnacentral:rRNA from 1 species
UACGGAGGAGGCAAGCGUUAUCCGGAAUUAUUGGGCGUAAAGCGUCCGUAGGUGGCUAGUCAAGUCUGAGGUCAAAGACUGGGGCUUAACCCUGGAAAGGCCGUGGAAACUGACGAGCUAGAGUGCAGUAGGGGUAGAGGGAAUUCCCGGUGUAGCGGUGAAAUGCGUAGAGCUCGGGAAGAACAUCGGUGGCGAAAGCGCUCUACUGGACUGCAACUGACACUCAGGGACGAAAGCUAGGGGAGCGAAUGGG